GUAAUUCCCCAAUUUUUCUCAUACAGUAGACACUCGCUAGCAAGUAAUAGUACUCAACCUGAUAAGUCAAUACCCGUAAAUGACUUUAAAAAUGGUGUUGAAUAUAAAAAAGUGAACUGAAAACAUGUUUUGUACUGUCAAUUAACCGAAUUAGAAUAUCUGAUCGAGUCAUCAGCCUGACCCUGAUAUAGAACACCUCUCAUUUCCCAUCGGGUAACGACUUCCCCAGACUCCAGAAUGUUUGUCCAAUCAAUGAUCAUGUGCGAAAUCAAUCACCGGGAUGUUUUGCAUUGCCCACUAUAAAUAUUGUUGGUCGGCAGUUGGGGAUCACAGUUUACGGACAACAACGCUUCUAUCCAGAACACGACCGGAAAAAGUUGCUAAUUUGGGAGAAAAAUAUAAAAACCCAAGUACAUCCCCGUGAAAUUUCGCAAAUAAGGUUAACAAUGGCAAAGUUUCUAUCCAUCUUUUUGUGUCUGGUUAUUAUUGGAUCUAUAACUGCAGGACCUAUAGAA